AGGGGAUCAUACUACAGUGCAGGUCAGCAGUGCAUGUAUGCCUGGCCAGCCAUGUGAUCUUAAGAAAACAGGAUUUGUCAAAGCUGUCGAUCUUAUUUUAUUGGUUUUGGGUACAGAUGACCAUUGCAGGUACUUUUGACUAUGGAUAUUAGUUCAAAUGGACAUUUUGACAAGCCUGCAACUAAGCAGUGUGGUGGAAAAACCCUUAAUGAAAUACCUCAGAGACUGGAUUAUGAGUAGAAUGCGAUAAGAAGAAAGUGGACUCAACGGACGCCGGGGCCAACGUGAAUGACAGCACGGCUUACCGCUAAUGUGAUCUUCACAAGACCCUGUGCACCCUAGUCAUAAUACCUUUGCUGCAAUGCUCAGACAAGCAGACGCAUAGAAUACCAAGACUAAUCUCAAGCAGUGCUGAAUGUGGACACUUCUACAUGAAAACUCAAAAAUAUAACCUGAUUUUCAUUUUUUUUUAUAUUGUUAGCUUACAAUAGAUGAUGUAAAUGUUACUACUGUGGCCUUCCUAAAUCUCUGAAUGGUAGCCUAAACAAAAAUUAGUUCAGUAAAUCAAUACAUCUGAACAUAGAUUGUGAACAUAAUUUUACACAUUAAACAUUAGUGUGUUUUCUCUGCA